GAUGAAGAACGCAGCGAAAUGCGAUACUUGGUGUGAAUUGCAGAAUCCCGUGAACCAUCGAGUCUUUGAACGCAAGUUGCGCCCGAAGCCAUUAGGCCGAGGGCACGCCUGCCUGGGCGUCACACGUCGUUGCCCCCCCAUCUACUCCUUCGGGAUUGCGGGGGGCGGAUGAUGGCCUCUCGUGCGCCUCGUCGCGCGGUUGGCCUAAAUGCCAAGUCCUCGGCGACGCACGCCACGACAAUCGGUGGUUGCGAAACCUCGGUUGCCUGUCGUGUGCGGUCGUCGCGCAUCGAGGGCUCGAAAAAAUUGCCGGGCUUCGGCUCGACUUUCAACGCGACCCCAGGUCAGGCGGGGAUACCCGCUGAAUUUAAGCAUAUCAAUAAGCGGAGGA
rnacentral:misc_RNA from 1 species